GGAAACCAGUUCCUCCUACACCUUUCUUAAUCAAACUGUCAAUCUUGUAGCCACCUUCACUCAUCUUCGAGAAGAACGACAACUUCUGUCACGCAUUUUUGAGACAACAAGCACGAUUACUGGAAAGACAGAAACGCACAACUU